CUCUCUGCUCUCUCUCUCUGCUCCCCAGCAGAGCAGGGCUCAUCCAGGCCCCAAGCCCCGAGGAGUGAUCUGCUUGCCUCCUUCGGAAGCCUCCCGCCUCUCCCCUUCCCGGACGCCCCUGAGACCAGACUCGACCUUGGCAGCUGGAUCGGAGGCCUCUGCGGUCACGGGGUGACGGAGCUGAGCGGAUGCUAGCCCAAAGAUGGGCCGGGACGACCCCAGCCCCACAGGUGGCUGGAGAAACCUGGUCUGUGGCCACGGGCUCGACCACGGGCCCAGAGAGAAAGGCUCCUGUGUGGAAAUGCCUUGGGAAAAGGUGCUCGGGCCCAUCAGCCCCACCCGCGGGGCCCGGAAGUCUCCUCUAGCCUGUCCUGCUCUCCGGGAAGAAGAAAGGAGGUGGAAUGUCUUCUAAAGUGACGGAUCCUUUGCUGAUCUCCCUGAUGGGGACCAGAACUGGGCAGCAGACCAGGACCCAGAACCAGACUGGUUCUGGUUUUCCAGGCAGAAUGCAGUUGUCUCCGACGGAUGUGAUUUUCUGCGAUCCUUCCAGACCCCUAGGCCGCCUCCUCCACAGGAGCUGGGAGGGCAGCCAAUGAGGCCAGCAAUAAAGCCCACGGCACCCUUUCCCCAUUAGCCUGUCAGACAUCAGGCCUCACAUGCUUGGGCUACACAAUCCUCCGCUGGCCUCACCCCAGUGGUCCAUGCCAGCCCCAUCCCAAGAGUCCGAACUGACCCCAGAGCCUCCCUCCUGCCCCCGGGGGUGGGGGAAUUGGGGGCACUGAGGCCGAAGAGAACUCAAGAACUGCCAAGAUCAACAAGAAGGGAACAGGCCCUCUUGCCCAAGAGGAAUCCUGCCAAUCACCACAUGCAGUUUUGCCCCCUGUGCCAGCUCUCCCCUUCGCAAGGCUUCAUGGGGGAAGGGAGAAGAGACAGUCCCAAAUCACAGGGCCAAGCGGCUUGAAAAUUCAGCCAGCCAGAAGGAACCAGAUGCCCCAGAGAAAGCAGAGAGACUUCCAAGCCACCACAGAGAAGUUUCUACACCCAGAGGGGAGGACCGGACCGGAACGGCUGCAACAAGGGAAUCUGUGUGGAUAGACCCCGGACCUGAGAGUCAGAAGGACCCGGGUUCUAAUCCUGCCUCUUCAACUUGUCUGCUGUGUGAU